rnacentral:rRNA from 1 species
GACGAACGCUGGCGGCGUGCUUAACACAUGCAAGUCGAACGGAAAGGCCCUGCUUUUGUGGGGUGCUCGAGUGGCGAACGGGUGAGUAACACGUGAGUAACCUGCCCUUGACUUUGGGAUAACUUCAGGAAACUGGGGCUAAUACCGGAUAGGAGCUCCUGCUGCAUGGUGGGGGUUGGAAAGUUUCGGCGGUUGGGGAUGGACUCGCGGCUUAUCAGCUUGUUGGUUGGGUAGUGGCUUACCAAGGCUUUGACGGGUAGCCGGCCUGAGAUGGUGACCGGCCACAUUGGGACGGAGAUGCGGCCCAGACUCCUACGGGAAGCAGCAGUGGGGAAUAUUGCACAAUGGGCGGAAGCCUGAUGCAGCAACGCCGCGUGCGGGAUGACGGCCUUCGGGUUGUAAACCGCUUUCGCCUGUGACGAAGCGUGAGUGACGGUAAUGGGUAAAGAAGCACCGGCUAACUACGUG